UACGUAGGUGGCAAGCGUUGUCCGGAAUUAUUGGGCGUAAAGCGCGCGCAGGCGGUCUUCCAAGUCAGUGGUGAAAGCCCGGAGCUCAACUCCGGAACUGCCAUUGAAACUGUAAGACUUGAGGAUGAGAGAGGUGAGUGGAAUUCCCAGUGUAGAGGUGAAAUUCGUAGAUAUUGGGAAGAACACCGGUGGCGAAGGCGGCUCACUGGCUCAUUACUGACGCUCAGGCGCGACAGCGUGGGGAUCAAACAGG
rnacentral:rRNA from 1 species